rnacentral:sRNA from 1 species
GUGUUGUCCUAACUGGGCAGUAUCCUGUGCUCAGAGAAUAGCAAAUGUCCUGAGAGGGUUGAAGACCCAGGGCUGAACUCAGAAGCCACAUUUUAGCUUUGCAGCAAGUUGCUCACAUUGCAGAAUCUUCUGGGAGAGCCACCUGCUGGCUGUCCUGUGACACAUGGACUGAAGCAACCGCUUGGACCUCCAGGCUGGCCCUGUAGACCCUGGUGCAUCCUGGAGAAAGCCAACAGAAACAGGCUGCAUGCACAGCACUCCCUCCCCACUCGCUGAGGGGCUCUCGGUCACUGCGUUUCUGAUACUCCUGCAGCUGUCUCAGAGGACCUAGCUAAGUCCAGAGAUACCACGUGACAGACACAGGAAGAGGCCUCGUACCUGGCAAAAAAAUCUGGAGGUGGCGGGAUCCCAUCCACCUGUGACCUCUGGCUUUUGUCACCGGGGCUGCCCUGAGUCAGAAUGGGCCAGAAAAGUUAAUGCUUAACCCGGAGGUUCUGAGAGAGCCGCUGGCCACUACGUCAGCACUCCGAGGGGACUCGGGUCAUCGCAGACAACCAGCCCUGGUUCAAAGUCCGGAGUCCCCACGAGGUUGCCUGCCAGUGGGAGAAUGCUGGUGUUGAUGCCCCAGAACUUGAGGACUGUGGUUCCAGAAUGCUGACCAUGGUGGGCAGCUACAGCCUCAGGCUGAACCUGUGGGUGACCGUGUGGCUGGUAUCCAUGGGACAGGUCCAUGCUGACUCAGGCAAGAGCUAGGGUAUCAUCAUAGAUGAAGGGUGGUGGAGGCCAGGCCUCAUGGUGGGAGGUUGAGGGCGGAAAGGAAGGAUGCCCAGGGGAGAAGUCACUGCCCAAGUUGGGCCAAGAUGCCACUUGGAACUUUCUGAAUGAAGACCAUGGAUCCUGGGAGAACAUGAGGAACAGAUGAGAGAGAGAGAGAGAGGCCAUGGGUGAAGUUGGCCGGGCUUCUGGAUCCAUCAGAUGUCAUGGUCACCUGCAAACGUCAUUCUUUUAGUAGCUUCUGAGUGACCACUGGUGGGGCAGGUCCUCUUGGCAUUGGAACAGGCUAAACCAAUAGAGUGAUGCUCACAGGGUAGCUAACGAUGUGUGGGGAGAGGGGUAUUCAGGAAGCCCCAACCGGUACAGUGCACGGAGCCCCAAGAGAUGAGCCAGAGGAAGCUGAGGAGGAAGGGCAGGUGACGUCCCUGCAAAGGUCCCCAGGCAGGAGAACUUAGGAGAGGCUGAGGGGCCUGGGCCUGGGGCUGAAGAUGGAAAGACGCCAGGGAGAGGGCACAGCCAGCGGGGUCUGGGAGAGAGCGAGGUCUCGGGCUGGUGAGAUGGUUUCGCAGGUAAAGGUACCUCUUGGACAGGAUCGACAACCAGAGGGUGGUGGUCCAGCACUCAGGAGGCAGAGGAAGGUGGAGCUCUCUGACUCAAGGGUGGCUUCGUCUACAGAAUCAGGGGCGCCACCUGGUGGCCGGAGUCUCAGCCAUGGAAGCCUCGGACCAGACCUCUGUCCAGGUGUGCCAGUGUCCCGGGUGGGCUCAAAAGACACUCAGGUACGCUUCCCAGUUAGCACAGGUGACACAGGAAGCCGAGGGACCCUAAAGAAAUCCACACGGGGCUGGAGUUUCACGCCCAGUACCAGCCUCUCUUCCCACACACUUCGGUUUCCUUCCAGACUUUUCUCCACACACCCAGGUACUUGCUAAUGUAAAAAGUGAGUUGCAGCCCACAGAAUCAGGAAGCUGAUGGGCUCCCACGCACUUCAAGAUGGGGGGGUUCUCCCUCUCUGUCAGCUGAGAUUUCUUCUGGUGGGCAGAGAGUGGCGGCGAGAUAACACCAGACGGGGGUGUGACCAGGAGCCAGGUGAGCUUCUAGACGUCUCCUCCCCCCCUUGUUCUCCCUCCACUGAGGAAGAUGAGGAAGACGGAAUGACCACAGACCUCACCAAGGGGAUAGGGAGUGGGACUGGGGGCAGAUGUCACCCUACAGAGUUCCUUCUGUCCACAAAGGUGGCAUCUCACGACAACCACCGGCCUUUGCCUGUCCCAGGGCUCCUUGACCUGUGGUCUGCCUGUUUGCCUGCUGGAGGUGGGAAUGUGGUAGCCAAGACAGAGCAGAUCCACCUGGAGGCACCUCAGCCCCAGGGACUGUCAGCGGGUAUCUGCUGUGCUUCCCCUGGGAUGUGCUUCUCAGUGGGGGCUCCCUGGCCACUUGUCCUGUUCUCUGAUUCAGAGGGCUUCGGAGCACAGAGGCCACUUCCACAUCGUUGGCCGGGGGAAUGAAGCAACUUCACAGCGACCUGUCUGCUCUUGUCACUUGUGGAAGAGGCGAGGCGAGGACCUGGUGGGAGGUCAUUGUCACACCAGGCGUACCUACCCAUUGCUUCCGUGAGACUAACUUUGAGGGGACCACGACAUCCCGACAGCCUACGGCCCCUUCCAAGGACACCCUGGGAUUCAUUUAAGCUUCCGUUUUCCAGAUGGGGAAACUGAGGCUUGGGGAGGGGAACAACAAAUAGAGCUGCACAUAUGCUGAGUGUCCAAGGACCCCGUCAGUCACUUUCCGCUCGGGAAAGUUAGGGGUGGGGGUGGGGGCUCUCCCUGGCUGUGUGACUCGUGGUUCCUGGGCUAGUGUGUAACAUGUCACUGGUGCAGCUGUCUGUGUGGAGACGUUUCCCCACCCCAGGUGCUGCUGUGUUGUGAGUUGGGCUGGAGUACAAGACGGGCCAUUCAGGGUGUCACAGCCCAGAAUGCAAACUGACUGGAGGACAGCCAGCACUAACCAGGGCCUACUGAGUUCUGUUCCAUAAGUCCUGUGUGACUGUCACACUCAAACCAGGUGUGGGCUGGGAAGGAGGGAGGGCAGGGGAGGAAGGAGGCUCCCUGCCAGUCCUGGGUCAGGUUUGGUGACAGUAGAUCGUUAGGAUGAUUAUAGCCAGUCACCUGGCUAGACAUUUUCUCAUCUUGUCCUAAAAACAAACCCCCAGAGGGAGGAAGGUAAUGGCCCUAUCUAACAGAUAUGGAAAUAGAGGCGCAGAGACUAGGAGUCCAAGGUCACACUAUCUUCCUUGUGGGCUGGUUGUGUGCCCUGGGACCCCACUCUCAGCUGGUCCCUCCUCAUCUUUGUCCCUCCCCCUCAUCCCGGAGGUAUUUCCACAGUACAGGGGGCUUUUUCCUACCCACGGGGGUUGUGUAUCCUUGCUCCUGGGUGUAAUCUUGGCGGGCUUUUUGCAGGCCGUGUUACCCCUGGCAAAUAGUUCAACUUCCCCGAGCUCCUUGAAACGGACAGUUCUUCACACAUAGCCAUGGUGGGUAAGCUGGUCUGAUGCUGUCAGCAACUACCGGACAAGCUGUGCGCUCCAGGAAGGAGCAAGCAGGUCUUGCGUGGGUGGGAGCUCUUUACAAACACGUUGCAGGGUUGUCCCGGAAAGGGCGCAGGUCCUUCAACUUUGAGCAUGGGUGUCCGUUGGAGAAAGCUCGCGUAAGGAGAAACCUAGCUUGAAAUGUCUUUAUAGGUUUGGUGUCGUGAUGCAAGACUCCAGGAACCUACUGGAUGCCUAGCCGCACGAGUGCAGGGCACAGGAGUCCUCUGCCUGGCCCACCUGAGACCCUGAAGUUCACUGGGCAUUGAGCUGUUUCCAGUUCCUGGCUCUUAUGACUAGGGCAGCAGUGAACACGGCGGGGCAAGUGUCUCUGUGGUAGGAUGAACAGCCCUUUGGGUACCUGCCCUGGCGAGGUGUAGCUGGAUCUCAAAGCAUGAGGAACCUCCUCCAUGGAUUUUCACAGAGUUUGUACUCACACCAGCACUGGAGGAGUGUCCCCUACCCCCACAUCCUCAUCACCACGAGCUGUCGUCUGUUUUAUUGCCCUUGGCCAAUUCUGACUGGUGUGAGACUACAUUUUGAAGUAGUUUUGAUUUGGAUUUCCCUGAUGGCAAAGACGUUGAACAUUAAACAAAAAACUUUGUCAGA